rnacentral:rRNA from 1 species
AGCUGCAGUCGAGAUCAUUCGCAAUGGGCGAAGCCUGACGAUGCGACGCCGUGUGAGUGAUGAAGGCCUUCGGGUCGUAAAGCUCUUUCGCUUGKGAACAAGAGAGGCUAGCUAAUAUCUGGUCAAUUUGAGGGUACCAGGUAAAGAAGCACCGGCUAACUC